AUGGAGGCUUCGGAUGGAUCCUCAUCGACGACCAGCUGGACCGGUAAGAACUUGGAGCAUAUGCUGCAGCACCUUGAUUUGAAGGAGGAGGAGCUGGAUGACAUGGUCAUGUUCUGCUUGGGAGAUUGGAAGAAGGUCGUUCAUGGUGGCCAAUGGCUGUUCAAGGGGAUGGGUCUUCUGAUUAAGGACUAUGAUGGCAAGAUAGACUCGGAAUUGGUGGUCUUUGAUGGUCUGUACGUCUGGGCUCAAAUCCACAACAUCCCUGAUCUAUACCGCAAUGCAGAAAUUGUGGAUCAACUUGCUCGCCGAAUUGGCAGAAUGAAGGGGAUUUUACUCGCUCCAAAGCUUUACUAUGAGGGUGACUACGUCAGAGUUCGUGCAAGGGUUUUGGUGAAUAAGCCCCUUACCAGAGUUAUGUCACUGAAUGUCAUGGGUGAGGGGCAUCGUUUACUCCCAGUCAAAUAUGAGAAGAUGCCUUACUUUUGUCAGGUAUGUGGAUUCAUGGGGCACAAUCAUGAAGAAUGUGGCGAUGGUGUGUGGGAACCAAAACAAUGGCAGUUUGGAAGUUGGAUGCUGGCCCAACGCAAGGAAUUGGCCCCUGAAAAACAACAGUUUGGACGUACUGCUCGAGGGGGCUGGUCCCGGGGGCGAGGUAGAUAUGGGGCUGGCCGUGGCAGAGCUCCACCAAGGGAACAGGAAGCCCCAUGCAAGAGGUCAUCAUAG
rnacentral:rRNA from 1 species